UGAACCAAUCUUUACAGUGUUGCCGCUUGCAAUCUAUUCAUGCCUGGUUAUUACAGAAAAUGAGAACACACAGCUUGAGUAGAGACCACCAAGUGUGAAAGGGAAGGCUGGCCAGCAAAGCCAGACGACCCAGCUGUCCGAUGUGCUUGUGACGUUGUGAUCUCUGGAGACACAGACAUUGGCAGAUAGGCCUUCAGUCCCCAACCCAUCCUGACGCCUAGAGAAAGCCUAGGUAGUGAGGGCCGUAACCUCGGGGGAUGGCUCAGAGUGUCCAUCCUUUCUCCAGCCUGCCCCAGAACUUAAGCUGAGCCUUCUGCACACACUGGAGAGCGGGCUUGAGUGUGUGGAAGGGACGGACUACACUCUGAGACACUCAGUAACUAGCAUCCCAACUUCUCUUCCUGGCCUUGGAUGCUGGCGGCCAAAGGGUCUCACUUAUAGCCUUGCUGCGAACACCAGGCUGGCUUGGAACUCACAGAGAUCACCAUCCUCUGCUUCCAGAUUGCCUCUGCUUCUACAGGCCUGUGCUACCAUGCCCUGCUUUGGGAAAUGCACUGCAGUACCACUGUUCAAUGGCUACGGGAUGCUAUCCCGUUCUGUGACCACAGAAUUACAUUUCUUCAAUCUGUAUUUGUUCAAAUCACAAACACCCACACAACUUUCGCCUGUAUACUUCAUUUUCUUCAGACAAAUUUUCAAAUAUGAAAUCUCUAUAUUGACACCCAGGAACAAACAGACUUUAAUACCUGUUGCCAAGGCCCCACCUAGAAAAGUUCUACCAAAUUGGGGUGACAAGUGCCCAUUUUCCUGAAUUCUCCCAGAGUUUUAUAACUUUUGAUGCAUUUUAAUUUGAUAUCAACCAUCAUAGUUUAUAUUUUUAACCACUAAGAGAGUUAUUGGUAAGUUUCUUCCUGUAUUAGUUUUGGAUAGUUUUAUCGGGCUCAGUGCAAUGCAGGGGACACCUGUCCCUUAUGAAAGCGGGGCGUGACAUCUGGCCAGCUAUGUACAUGGCGGCAGCAGCUGGGGUUAUGGCUUGUUCAAAUCUGAAGGAUCAGGAAGCAGAGACCCCGGGCUGGAAAUGGUGGCAGGUCUAAUCUUUAGAGCCUACUUCUGGAAGCCUAGACCUAUCAGCUGUGCCUUGCAUUCAAAAGAUUUCAUGACCUCCCAAGGCACCACCAAGAACCAGACCUAUAACCCUGUAUAGUGUGAUGUUUCACUUUAAACCUCAACAUUGUUCUUGUAAUAGUUUUCUGUUCAUGAAUUUGUUUUAUCUUUUUGUAUUGAUAUCAUUAUGUUACUAUUGGUUUAAAAUGCUCUUUAUGCA